GUAGCAAGAUAAGUGGGCUUGAUCGUGGGGAAAACUCCACAAUUAAGCACGCUUGAGCCAGAGGCAUAUUGGGAUGGGUGACCACCUGGGAAGUCCUGGUUACUGGGUGCA
rnacentral:rRNA from 1 species